rnacentral:rRNA from 1 species
UACGUAGGGGGAAAGCGUUGUCCGGAUUUAUUGGGGGUAAAGAGCGUGUAGGCGGGCAGGUAGGUCAGCUGUGAAAACUCGAGGCUCAACCUCGAGACGUCGGUUGAAACCAUCUGGCUAGAGUCCGGAAGAGGAGAGUGGAAUUCCUGGUGUAGCGGUGAAAUGCGCAGAUAUCAGGAAGAACACCCGUGGCGAAGGCGGCUCUCUGGGACGGUACUGACGCUGAGACGCGAAAGCGUGGGGAGCGAACAGG